rnacentral:tRNA from 1 species
CGAGAGUCAUGGUAUUGUUCUAGGCCCGCUAAGUCAAAGAACUCGCGACUAAACUUGCGUAUACUCUGC